UACGUAGGGGGCAAGCGUUGUCCGGAUUUAUUGGGCGUAAAGAGCGUGUAGGCGGUUAUACAGGUCCGCUGUGAAAACUGGAGGCUUAACCUCCAGACGUCGGUGGAAACCGUACAACUAGAGUCCGGAAGAGGAGAGUGGAAUUCCUGGUGUAGCGGUGAAAUGCGCAGAUAUCAGGAAGAACACCCGUGGCUAAGGCGGCUCUCUAGUACGGUACUGACGCUGAGACGCGAAAGCGUGGGGAGCGAACAGG
rnacentral:rRNA from 1 species